GUGGGGAAUAUUGGACAAUGGGCGAAAGCCUGAUCCAGCCAUGCCGCGUGUGUGAAGAAGGUCUUCGGAUUGUAAAGCACUUUAAGUUGGGAGGAAGGGCAGUAAGUUAAUACCUUGCUGUUUUGACGUUACCGACAGAAUAAGCACCGGCUAACUUCGUGCCAGCAGCCGCGGUAAUACUAAGGGUGCAAGCGUUAAUCGGAAUUACUGGGCGUAAAGCGCGCGUAGGUGGUUUUGUAAGUUGGAGGUGAAAUCCCCGGGCUCAACCUGGGAACUGCCUCCAAAACUGCAUGACUAGAGUACGGUAGAGGGUAGUGGAAUUUCCUGUGUAGCGGUGAAAUGCGUAGAUAUAGGAAGGAACACCAGUGGCGAAGGCGACUACCUGGACUGAUACUGACACUGAGGUGCGAAAGCGUGGGGAGCAAACAGGAUUAGAUACCCCGGUAGUCC
rnacentral:rRNA from 1 species